rnacentral:rRNA from 1 species
CCUACGGGAGGCAGCAGUGGGGAAUCUUGGGCAAUGGAGGAAACUCUGAUCCAGCAACGCCGCGUGAAUGAUGAAGGUCUUCGGAUCGUAAAGUUCUUUUCUAAGGGAAGAAGAAGGUGACGAGACCUUAGGAAUAAGUCUCCGCUAACUACGUGCCAGCAGCCGCGGUAAUACGUAGGAGGCAAGCGUUAUCCGGAAUGACUGGGCGUAAAGGGUGCGUAGGUGGUUUGACAAGUUGGAAGCGAAAGUCCGAGGCUUAACCUCGGCACUACUACCAAAACUGGUGGACUCGAGUGCAGGAGAGGAGAAUGGAACUCCUAGUGUAGCGGUGGAAUGCGUAGAUAUUAGGAGGAACACCAGUGGCGAAGGCGAUUUGCUGGACUGUAACUGACACUGAGGCACGAAAGCGUGGGGAGCAAACAGGAUUAGAUACCCUUGUAGUC